rnacentral:rRNA from 1 species
GGCAAUGGCUUGAAUACUUUAAAAGUACUAGAUCCCAUUGGAUCUUGAAAGCUAUGCAGGGUAACUUGUAAUUAGUACUUGGAUGGGAGACUGCCAACAGAUUCCAUGUGCUGCAGGCU